rnacentral:rRNA from 1 species
AUGUACUUGGAUAGCAUCGUGGCAAAUCAUGUUUGCUACAGGUUCAGUGAUCACGAUCGUUCCAUGUUAUUACCCAAGGAGUUAUGCAAAAAGGGUACACUCAUAAUGGCACAGAUGUCAAAAUACCCUAAUUUGGGUUUUAAUCCCAAAGCACGUGGCCAGAUAACCGUCGGAGAUGAUGUUAUUAGAGGACAUUACCAGGUGCUCUUAGGCAUUGCUAAUAUGGAUCUGUCUCAGGAAGAAAGUGUUGACAUCAGCUUGAAAGAGGCCCUUCUCUUCUUUGUUCUGCUAGCCGAAGCUCUACGGUUUCCCAAGCUCGAAAAGUGGUUACUAAAUAUCUUGGCAAAGAAGAUGGAAAUGUCAGUCCCGGUUAGUAUAACCAAGCUCUUCAACAAAUGGGGAACGCUCUCCCAGAUUCUUCAUAAAGGCAGAGAAAAGUUCAAUGACGAUAUUACUGAUAAGAUGCUGAAGAAUAAAUGUAAAACAUUUAAUGAUGUAUGUUCCAAGUUAGGAAUAGCGAACAGAAUCAACUUGGGCAAAUUGGAGAAAAAGAAGAAGAAGAAGAACAGGCUCUAA